CCUGGCGGCAGUAGCGCGGUGGUCCCACCUGACCCCAUGCCGAACUCAGAAGUGAAACGCCGUAGCGCCGAUGAUAGUAGUGUGGGGUCUCCCCAUGCGAGAGUAGGGAACUGCCAGGC
rnacentral:rRNA from 1 species